UCUCUAACAAAUAUUAAAAUAAUUAUUUUAAUAAAAAAAAUUUAUUAAAUAUCUUUAUAACAAAUCUUGAUUGAUGAGAUCAUGACCUUCUAGGAAAUUAUCCUAUUGCAAUUAUAAGCUUGUAAGGGCAUGUUUAGAUGGUUGGACUAAAAUUAUAUAGGAUUCAUGGCCUAAUCACCAAAAAUAUAGAAUUAUAGGCUGAAUUUGACCUAUUAUACAAUUGCCC
rnacentral:lncRNA from 1 species